UGUACUACCGAUAACCGUUUGAGAGAAGGGAUGACACAGUAGGAUAAGCUAAGCACACUGUUGGUUAUGUGUGCCCAAGCAUUGAGGCAGUCAAAGUAGGUAAAUCCGCUUUGAUAAUGCUGGGAUGUGAUGGGGAGCGAAAUUUAGUAGCGAAGUAGCUGAUUUCACACUGUCAAGAAAAGUCUCUAUCGAGGUUAAAGG
rnacentral:rRNA from 1 species